GAUGAACGCUGGCGGCGUGCCUAAUACAUGCAAGUCGAGCGAACGGACGAGAAGCUUGCUUCUCUGAUGUUAGCGGCGGACGGGUGAGUAACACGUGGAUAACCUACCUAUAAGACUGGGAUAACUUCGGGAAACCGGAGCUAAUACCGGAUAAUAUUUUGAACCGCAUGGUUCAAAAGUGAAAGACGGUCUUGCUGUCACUUGUAGAUGGAUCCGCGCUGCAUUAGCUAGUUGGUAAGGUAACGGCUUACCAGGGCAACGAUGCAUAGCCGACCUGAGAGGGUGAUCGGCCACACUGGAACUGAGACACGGUCCAGACUCCUACGGGAGGCAGCAGUAGGGAAUCUUCCGCAAUGGGCGAAAGCCUGACGGAGCAACGCCGCGUGAGUGAUGAAGGUCUUCGGAUCGUAAAACUCUGUUAUUAGGGAAGAACAUAUGUGUAAGUAACUGUGCACAUCUUGACGGUACCUAAUCAGAAAGCCACGGCUAACUACGUG
rnacentral:rRNA from 1 species